rnacentral:misc_RNA from 1 species
CAUAUUGCUUCGCGGUAGCCCUCGAGAAUCAUAGUACCCUUUUGCCUCUAGUACAUUUGUGUUUCGUUUCGUUCUCAUACUACCGUUGCGUUAUCACAACACAUCUAGUGUUCUGAUUUUCAUUCUCCUCUACCACCUGUGAGCUUACUCUCUUUCUGCCGUUGCUUUACUUUGUGUGCUUGUGCACUUCUCCGUCACGUUCGCAGAGUGGUCUUUCUUUACUACAACGUUUACACUUCUUUUUUCACUUCGCGCGACUUUCUCCCUUUCCCUACCUCUGCGGAACAACAGUUUCGUCGCAGCCACAUUGUUAUCAAAGAGUGAAGCGUACAUUGAAUCCAUUCCCGAGUACUUUGCCCCAACCAGUAUACAGAAAGCACCAGCUCGCUCCACAAGCGCCUUCCAAAGUAUUUUCACCUCGACUCGCAAGGCACAUUUUCCCCAUUCAUCAUCAACAGCGCCGUUAUUGUCAGCAGUGCAGAAACCGCGUGCCUUCUACUUUACCACCGUGUUUCUGAGUACGGAGCACAGUGUUCGUCUCGCACCGUUCUCCACCUGCAUCUGCCAUACACUCAUACCGACACCCCCGUGAGUUUCCGUGUCGCCUUCGAAGAAAACUAAAACAGCAUAGACGAAAUUUCUCACGCUAAGCAUUACACAACCAUACGAAAAUGUCCUUUUUAAGCAACAUCAAUCCCGCCUUUCCCCAACUGCAAGCUGGGCAGGUGGUCGCCUACGACUACCUUCACGCUGCGAAGACGUGGCAGUGGACCCUGGGUACGGUGCGUGAGAUCAAGGACUACACGGCCGUCGUGCAGCAGUGGGGCCUUCACACCGGAGACAUUGACACGCUGCGCUCCAUUCUCCUCAAAGAGGUCGACACGGAAAAUGGACGCAUGAAGAACUAUCAUGAUAUGCUGGCUAUCGCACGAGAGAAGCUCGCAUCCAUCCGCCGUAGCAAUGAGGAUCGUGUUUCACACGUUCGAGGCCACUUUGACAAGGCUCGUGAAAAAGUAGAGCUCAUUGACGAGGUCGAUUUGCGCAAGGUCACGGCCCAGGCCGCCCCAUCCCCGGUUGCUGUAGCAGUGCUGAAGGCGGUGUGGGCCGUGGCCAAGUGCGAUCCCACGGCGGUUGAGUUCUACGAGUGGGCAGAUGUGCAACUGGAGUACCGGAAGCCAGCCGCUCUCGAUGAGAUCGCCAAGACAGACGUUCUCGCGAAGCUCUAUCCUUCCGCGGAAAGCCUCCAGCAGUCCCUGGAGCAGGACCCCAAGCUGAACUACAAGGCGGCGGCGCGCGACUCGCCGGUGGUGGCCAGCCUCCAUGCGUGGGUCAUCACAGCUCUUGCCUACCAGCAGGCGUACAACCUCCUGGCGCACGACAAGCGCAUCCAGGAGCAGAACGACGCCAUCGCAGCCGCCAUUGCUGGCAUGAAGGCCUGUCGCGCCAAGAUCGCCAAGCUCAAGGACGAGCUGUCUUCAAAGGACACGGCUGCACUCCCUGGUCAGGUCACCUCCUUCACCAGGACGUCAGUCCUCGUGACCAUUCCGCUGUCUGCCGUCAUCUCUCCCGUCAAUGUGGACACCGGUGUGAAGGGAUGCGUGCUGACUAAGGAUGAGGUCGAGCAGAUUCUCUUUGAAGCUAAGGCAACCCGUUUUCAGCUAAAGAGUCGCAUGAAUUCUAUUGCCUGCAGGUACGUCGAAGCAGCAGCAGAACUACACACACUUUCCCUUUACACUGCAGAGCUGGAAAAAAAGCGUCUCUACCUACAGGAGCACUAUUUUUCGUCUAUCAUCCGAAGUGGUGAGGCAGAAGCCAAGUGGGCACGCACUGAGGACACUCAGAAGGAAAUUGAUCGCUUGAAUGCCCUGGUCGCUGAGCUGCAAAAGCAUGAUGAGAGGUGGGAACCAGAUUACGAAGCUGUCUCAGUGGCAACAUCACACGUGAAGAAGUACCCUGGUGCCGAAUGGGCUUACUUGAUAGCAGAGAGAUUCGAGGAAGUGCGUGCCGCCUUCGCCUCUGAUACAGCGCUUGCAGUUCACGUUGAUCCCAACUUUGUUCAACACAUUAAGUUUACCCCCGAAUGUGAUCAAUUGUGCGUGAGAUGUGAGAUAACACACCCUGCCAAGAUGACGGGAACGGAAGUAGAUGAGCGUAUUUCGCAGAUGCCCACACGGCUGAUGAAUUAUAUUUACAAAAACCGCGACGCUCCAAAAACAGGUCUGGACAGGGCCGUGGCUGAUAUCUGCAACGCCCUGGGAAUCGACGAUCACAAGUUUGCUGGACUUGGCUUCGACGAGUUCGUCACCCAACUUGCCGGAUUCGACUACUUAGGAGACAAAGACGCAUACGAGAGCGAAAUUGGGGAUCUUCUCAUGCUUCUCGAUAAGAUCAACAACGAGAACAGGUCGCUUCAGUACACCCUCGAAAAGUCUGCCGAACGUUUCAAGAAGCAGGCUGCUGUACUCCAGCGCGAUCAGGACGCUCUCACCCUGCGCAACGCGGACCUUGCCGAUGAGAUUGACCGCCUCCAAAACCUAGUCGAAAAGCUCAAGGACCUUGCAGACACACAAGGCGCACAGCUAGAGCACUACCACAUGCAGCACCAGCAAGCACAACAGCUGCGCGCACACCGCAACCUCUCGCCCAUCCCACCCACCGCAGAGGAGCCAUUGUACGCCGUUACUAUCGAUGAGCUGAACGCUCAAAAGGCACUCUGCGACAAAGAAAAACAACGCGCAGACGCCCUUCAGAAACAGCUUGACGACAAGGAACUCGCCCUUAAUCAGCUUCAAAGCCAGCUACGCGAAGUGCGAUGUCGUAACAAUGACCUCGACCAGCAACUUCAACUUUCCGCCGAGCUCAGCGAAAAACAAAAACAAAUACUCACCGCCUUCCACCAGAAGCGCCGCUCCGCGCACGACGCUCGCGCCGAUGAACCAGAGCUGGCUGCGGCCGACGGCGUCUCGACACGCAAUGCAUCCGCACGCAGCCGAGGCCGCCCCCCUGCGCACAUAACCACUGCCGCGGAGCCCUUCGACCCCGUCACCAUCGCCGCGGACCCGCUGUACGCUGUCACGCUGGAUGAGUACAAAGCCAAGCAGACCGCCCUAAACAGCGCAAAGGAGGAGGUCCAGAGGCUGGUCGGCGAUCUCGAAAAGGCAGAGGAGGAGGCCGAGACACUGGCGGGCGAGCUGCAGAAGGCGCAGGAGGACGGGGAGAGGCAGAAGGCCGACAACCGCCAGCUGGCCAGCGACAACGAGCGGCUGGCCACCGAGCUGGAGAGGGCGCAGGAGGAGGCCGAGAGGCUGGCCGGCGAUCUCGAAAAGGCAGAGGAGGAGGCCGAGACACUGGCGGGCGAGCUGCAGAAGGCGCAGGAGGACGGGGAGAGGCAGAAGGCCGGCAACCGCCAGCUGGCCAGCGACAACGAGCGGCUGGCCACCGAGCUGGAGAGGGCGCAGGAGGAGGCCGAGAGGCUGGCCGGCGAUCUCGAAAAGGCGCAGGAGGAGGCCGAGACACUGGCGGCCGAGCUGCAGAAGGCGCAGGAGGACGGGGAGAGGCAGAAGGCCGACAACCGCCAGCUGGCCAGCGACAACGAGCGGCUGGCCACCGAGCUGGAGAGGGCGCAGGAGGAGGCCGAGAGGCUGGCCGGCGAUCUCGAAAAGGCAGAGGAGGAGGCCGAGACACUGGCGGCCGAGCUGCAGAAGGCGCAGGAGGACGGGGAGAGGCAGAAGGCCGACAACCGCCAGCUGGCCAGCGACAACGAGCGGCUGGCCACCGAGCUGGAGAGGGCGCAGGAGGGAGAGGCGGCGACGAGGAGAGGAGGCCGAGACACUGGCGGCCGAGCUGCAGAAGGCGCAGGAGGACGGGGAGAGGCAGAAGGCCGACAACCGCCAGCUGGCCAGCGACAACGAGCGGCUGGCCACCGAGCUGGAGAGGGCGCAGGAGGAGGCCGAGAGGCUGGCCGGCGAUCUCGAAAAGGCAGAGGAGGAGGCCGAGACACUGGCGGCCGAGCUGCAGAAGGCGCAGGAGGACGGGGAGAGGCAGAAGGCCGACAACCGCCAGCUGGCCAGCGACAACGAGCGGCUGGCCACCGAGCUGGAGAGGGCGCAGGAGGAGGCCGAGAGGCUGGCCGGCGAUCUCGAAAAGGCAGAGGAGGAGGCCGAGACACUGGCGGCCGAGCUGCAGAAGGCGCAGGAGGACGGGGAGAGGCAGAAGGCCGACAACCGCCAGCUGGCCAGCGACAACGAGCGGCUGGCCACCGAGCUGGAGAGGGCGCAGGAGGAGGCCGAGAGGCUGGCCGGCGAUCUCGAAAAGGCAGAGGAGGAGGCCGAGACACUGGCGGCCGAGCUGCAGAAGGCGCAGGAGGACGGGGAGAGGCAGAAGGCCGACAACCGCCAGCUGGCCAGCGACAACGAGCGGCUGGCCACCGAGCUGGAGAGGGCGCAGGAGGAGGCCGAGAGGCUGGCGGCGAUCUCGAAAAGGCAGAGGAGGAGGCCGAGACACUGGCGGCGAGCUGCAGAAGGCGCAGGAGGACGGGGAGAGGCAGAAGGCCGACAACCGCCAGCUGGCCAGCGACAACGAGCGGCUGGCCACCGAGCUGGAGAGGGCGCAGGAGGAGGCCGAGAGGCUGGCCGGCGAUCUCGAAAAGGCAGCAGGAGGAGGCCGAGACACUGGCGGCGAGCUGCAGAAGGCGCAGGAGGACGGGGAGAGGCAGAAGGCCGACAACCGCCAGCUGGCCAGCGACAACGAGCGGCUGGCCACCGAGCUGGAGAGGGCGCAGGAGGAGGCCGAGAGGCUGGCCGGCGAUCUCGAAAAGGCAGAGGAGGAGGCCGAGACACUGGCGGCCGAGCUGCAGAAGGCGCAGGAGGACGGGGAGAGGCAGAAGGCCGACAACCGCCAGCUGGCCAGCGACAACGAGCGGCUGGCCACCGAGCUGGAGAGGGCGCAGGAGGAGGCCGAGAGGCUGGCCGGCGAUCUCGAAAAGGCAGAGGAGGAGGCCGAGAGGCUGGCGGCGAUCUCGAAAAGGCGCAGGAGGAGGCCGAGACACUGGCGGCCGAGCUCCAGAAGGCGCAGGAGGACGGGGAGAGGCAGAAGGCCGACAACCGCCAGCUGGCCAGCGACAACGAGCGGCUGGCCACCGAGCUGGAGAGGGCGCAGGAGGAGGCCGAGAGGCUGGCCGGCGAUCUCGAAAAGGCAGACGAGAAGGCCGAGACACUGGCGGCCGAGCUCCAGAAGGCGCAGGAGGACGGGGAGAGGCAGAAGGCCGACAACCGCCAGCUGGCCAGCGACAACGAGCGGCUGGCCACCGAGCUGGAGAGGGCGCAGGAGGAGGCCGAGAGGCUGGCCGGCGAUCUCGAAAAGGCAGAGGAGGAGGCCGAGACACUGGCGGGCGAGCUGCAGAAGGCGCAGGAGGACGGGGAGAGGCAGAAGGCCGGCAACCGCCAGCUGGCCAGCGACAACGAGCGGCUGGCCACCGAGCUGGAGAGGGCGCAGGAGGAGGCCGAGAGGCUGGCCGGCGAUCUCGAAAAGGCAGAGGAGGAGGCCGAGACACUGGCGGCCGAGCUGCAGAAGGCGCAGGAGGACGGGGAGAGGCAGAAGGCCGGCAACCGCCAGCUGGCCAGCGACAACGAGCGGCUGGCCACCGAGCUGGAGAGGGCGCAGGAGGAGGCCGAGACACUGGCGGCCGAGCUGCAGAAGGCGCAGGAGGACGGGGAGAGGCAGAAGGCCGACAACCGCCAGCUGGCCAGCGACAACGAGCGGCUGGCCACCGAGCUGGAGAGGGCGCAGGAGGAGGCCGAGAGGCUGGCCGGCGAGCUGCAGAAGGCGCAGGAGGACGGGGAGAGGCAGAGGGCCGACAACCGCCAGCUGGCCAGCGACAACGAGCGGCUGGCCACCGAGCUGGAGAGGGCGCAGGAGGAGGCCGAGAGGCUGGCCGGCGAUCUCGAAAAGGCGCAGGAGGAGGCCGAGACACUGGCGGGCGAGCUGCAGAAGGCGCAGGAGGACGGGGAGAGGCAGAAGGCCGACAACCGCCAGCUGGCCAGCGACAACGAGCGGCUGGCCACCGAGCUGGAGAGGGCGCAGGAGGAGGCCGAGAGGCUGGCCGGCGGUCUCGAAAAGGCAGAGGAGGAGGCCGAGACACUGGCGGCCGAGCUGCAGAAGGCGCAGGAGGACGGGGAGAGGCAGAAGGCCGACAACCGCCAGCUGGCCAGCGACAACGAGCGGCUGGCCACCGAGCUGGAGAGGGCGCAGGAGGAGGCCGAGAGGCUGGCCGGCGAUCUCGAAAAGGCAGAGGAGGAGGCCGAGAGGCUGGCCGGCGAUCUCGAAAAGGCGCAGGAGGAGGCCGAGACACUGGCGGCCGAGCUCCAGAAGGCGCAGGAGGACGGGGAGAGGCAGAAGGCCGACAACCGCCAGCUGGCCAGCGACAACGAGCGGCUGGCCACCGAGCUGGAGAGGGCGCAGGAGGAGGCCGAGAGGCUGGCCGGCGAUCUCGAAAAGGCAGACGAGAAGGCCGAGACACUGGCGGCCGAGCUCCAGAAGGCGCAGGAGGACGGGGAGAGGCAGAAGGCCGACAACCGCCAGCUGGCCAGCGACAACGAGCGGCUGGCCACCGAGCUGGAGAGGGCGCAGGAGGAGGCCGAGAGGCUGGCCGGCGAUCUCGAAAAGGCAGAGGAGGAGGCCGAGACACUGGCGGGCGAGCUGCAGAAGGCGCAGGAGGACGGGGAGAGGCAGAAGGCCGGCAACCGCCAGCUGGCCAGCGACAACGAGCGGCUGGCCACCGAGCUGGAGAGGGCGCAGGAGGAGGCCGAGAGGCUGGCCGGCGAUCUCGAAAAGGCGCAGGAGGAGGCCGAGACACUGGCGGGCGAGCUGCAGAAGGCGCAGGAGGACGGGGAGAGGCAGAAGGCCGACAACCGCCAGCUGGCCAGCGACAACGAGCGGCUGGCCACCGAGCUGGAGAGGGCGCAGGAGGAGGCCGAGAGGCUGGCCGGCGAUCUCGAAAAGGCAGAGGAGGAGGCCGAGACACUGGCGGGCGAGCUCCAGAAGGCGCAGGAGGACGGGGAGAGGCAGAAGGCCGACAACCGCCAGCUGGCCAGCGACAACGAGCGGCUGGCCACCGAGCUGGAGAGGGCGCAGGAGGAGGCCGAGAGGCUGGCCGGCGAUCUCGAAAAGGCAGAGGAGGAGGCCGAGAGGCUGGCCGGCGAUCUCGAAAAGGCGCAGGAGGAGGCCGAGACACUGGCGGCCGAGCUCCAGAAGGCGCAGGAGGACGGGGAGAGGCAGAAGGCCGACAACCGCCAGCUGGCCAGCGACAACGAGCGGCUGGCCACCGAGCUGGAGAGGGCGCAGGAGGAGGCCGAGAGGCUGGCCGGCGAUCUCGAAAAGGCAGAGGAGGAGGCCGAGACACUGGCGGCCGAGCUGCAGAAGGCGCAGGAGGACGGGGAGAGGCAGAAGGCCGACAACCGCCAGCUGGCCAGCGACAACGAGCGGCUGGCCACCGAGCUGGAGAGGGCGCAGGAGGAGGCCGAGACACUGGCGGGCGAGCUGCAGAAGGCGCAGGAGGACGGGGAGAGGCAGAAGGCCGACAACCGCCAGCUGGCCAGCGACAACGAGCGGCUGGCCACCGAGCUGGAGAGGGCGCAGGAGGAGGCCGAGACACUGGCGGGCGAGCUGCAGAAGGCGCAGGAGGACGGGGAGAGGCAGAAGGCCGACAACCGCCAGCUGGCCAGCGACAACGAGCGGCUGGCCACCGAGCUGGAGAGGGCGCAGGAGGAGGCCGAGAGGCUGGCCGGCGAUCUCGAAAAGGCAGAGGAGGAGGCCGAGACACUGGCCGGCGAUCUCGAAAAGGCGCAGGAGGAGGCCGAGAGGCUGGCCGGCGAGCUGCAGAAGGCGCAGGAGGACGGGGAGAGGCAGAGGGCCGACAACCGCCAGCUGGCCAGCGACAACGAGCGGCUGGCCACCGAGCUGGAGAGGGCGCAGGAGGAGGCCGAGAGGCUGGCCGGCGAUCUCGAAAAGGCAGAGGAGGAGGCCGAGACACUGGCGGCCGAGCUGCAGAAGGCGCAGGAGGACGGGGAGAGGCAGAAGGCCGGCAACCGCCAGCUGGCCAGCGACAACGAGCGGCUGGCCACCGAGCUGGAGAGGGCGCAGGAGGAGGCCGAGACACUGGCGGCCGAGCUGCAGAAGGCGCAGGAGGACGGGGAGAGGCAGAAGGCCGACAACCGCCAGCUGGCCAGCGACAACGAGCGGCUGGCCACCGAGCUGGAGAGGGCGCAGGAGGAGGCCGAGAGGCUGGCCGGCGAUCUCGAAAAGGCAGAGGAGGAGGCCGAGACACUGGCGGCCGAGCUGCAGAAGGCGCAGGAGGACGGGGAGAGGCAGAAGGCCGGCAACCGCCAGCUGGCCAGCGACAACGAGCGGCUGGCCACCGAGCUGGAGAGGGCGCAGGAGGAGGCCGAGACACUGGCGGCCGAGCUGCAGAAGGCGCAGGAGGACGGGGAGAGGCAGAAGGCCGACAACCGCCAGCUGGCCAGCGACAACGAGCGGCUGGCCACCGAGCUGGAGAGGGCGCAGGAGGAGGCCGAGAGGCUGGCCGGCGAUCUCGAAAAGGCAGAGGAGGAGGCCGAGACACUGGCGGGCGAGCUCCAGAAGGCGCAGGAGGACGGGGAGAGGCAGAAGGCCGACAACCGCCAGCUGGCCAGCGACAACGAGCGGCUGGCCACCGAGCUGGAGAGGGCGCAGGAGGAGGCCGAGAGGCUGGCUGGUGAGCUGGCGGAUAAGGAUCCGGAGCUGGCUGCAUUUCGGGAGAAGCGGCGUGCCGCGCAUGGAGCGCGCGCCGAUGAGCCAGAGCUGGCUGCGGCCGACGGCAUCUCGACGCGCAAUGCCCGCGCAGGUAGCCGAGGCCGCCCCGCUGCGCAGAUAAACCCUGCCGCGGAGGCCGUCGACCCCGUCACUAUCGCCGCGGAGCCGCUGUACGCUGUCACGCUGGAUGAGUACAAAGCCAAGCAGACCGCUCUUGAAAAUGCAGUGGAGGUGGCUUGUGCUGCUGAGGAGACUGUGAAGGAAAAGUUGAGGGAAAACUCAGAUCUGAUGGUAGAACUCGAGAAGGUACGCGAUCAAGCUUAUGAGAUGGAUCGUCGGCGCCAAGAGGAUGGUGCGGCCAUGGAAGGGGAGCUUCUUGUGGUGUUGAUGGAGUUGAAGAAGCUGAAGGGAAUCAAUGAUGCGCUGCUGGCGCUACUGCGCGACAAGGAAUGCGAAGUAAAGGAACUGCGCUAUCACAAUGAGCUUUGGGUGGAUCCCACCGGGGACAAGAAGCAGGUUGUGACACGGCACACUAAGAUAUUUGAUGGAAACUGGGAGAGGAUUGUUCGCGAGCGUCCAGAGGCGCUAUUCGCAGCGUUUGUAAUUGAUUCUAGUAAUGCAUGCCACGUUCCCGGGGACAACAUCAAACAAGUGAGCUUUGAUCACGACUAAGUCGCGACUUUCUUGCUCGGGAGGCGGGUGAUGUGUGGCGCAGUUCUGAGUGGCGAACGUAUGGAAGAGCUGGAGGCGGGGGAACAGCUGCCCGAGCAUUUGGCGAGCCCAUUGCGCGUUUGCACCACUCCUGCUCCCCCUCUGUUUUCACUCCCUCAACCUGCUUCCGCUUGCAUUGUCUUUAUCUCGCCUACCUUGCGUGAUCUCUACGGCGUUGAAGUAAAGUGUUGUGGUCGUGGUUUUUGUGUGUUUCUGUUUGCAUAUUCAGGAAUAGUAGCCUGUGCUCUUUUUAGGAGGAGGUGGACUUUUCGCUCAGAGCGCAUAGCGAGGAGAGAAGGUUGAGAAAGAUAUGCAUUGUCACAUUUUCCACCGAUGGCACUACUCACGCCUCUCCCCUUCGUGUGUAUGACAUUGUUUGUAUUGGUAUGUCGGUAACAUUGCGGGGCGAUUUGUUGCGGUAUCGCGUCCGAGGGGCAGCUUAGAAGCGUUUCGCCGAAAGCGACCCCAUGCAGGAAUUGGUGGUCGUCACUGUUCAGCAAAAGG